UACGGCGACCAUGGCGAAAGGGAAACGCCCGGCUCCAUUCCGAACCCGGAAGCUAAGCCUUUCAGCGCCGAUGGUACUGCACGGGAGACUGUGUGGGAGAGUAGGACGUCGCCGGAC
rnacentral:rRNA from 3 species